rnacentral:rRNA from 1 species
UACGUAGGUGGCGAGCGUUGUCCGGAUUUACUGGGCGUAAAGGGAGCGUAGGCGGACUUUUAAGUGAGAUGUGAAAUACCCGGGCUCAACUUGGGUGCUGCAUUUCAAACUGGAAGUCUAGAGUGCAGGAGAGGAGAAUGGAAUUCCUAGUGUAGCGGUGAAAUGCGUAGAGAUUAGGAGGAACACCAGUUGCGAAGGCGGCUCUCUGGACUGUAACUGACGCUGAGGCACGAAAGCGUGGGGAGCAAACAGGAUUAGAUACCCU